rnacentral:rRNA from 1 species
AGGACGAACGCUGGCGGCGUGCCUAACACAUGCAAGUCGAACGGUCCGGCCGAAAGGCCGGAUAGUGGCGGACGGGUGAGUAACGCGUGAGCAACCUGCCUUAAAGAGGGGGAUAACACAGGGAAACCUGCGCUAAUACCGCAUAACAUGAAUUUUCCGCAUGGGAGAUACAUCAAAGGAGCAAUCCGCUUUAAGAUGGGCUCGCGUCCGAUUAGAUAGUUGGUGGGUAACGGCCCACCAAGUCAGUGAUCGGUAGCCGGACUGAGAGGUUGAACGGCCACAUUGGAACUGAGAGACGGUCCAGACUCCUACGGGAGGCAGCAGUGGGGGAUAUUAGGCAAUGGGGGGAAACCCUGACCUAGCAACGCCGCGUGAAGGAAGAAGGUCUUCGGAUUGUAAACUUCUUUGACGAGGGACGAUAAUGACGGUACCUCGAAAACAAGCCACGGCUAACUACGUGCCAGCAGCUGC